AACGAACGCUGGCGGCAUGCCUAACACAUGCAAGUCGAACGGGAUCCUGGCUUCGGUCAGGUGAGAGUGGCGGACGGGUGAGUAACGCGUGGGAACCUGCCCAGUGGUGGGGGAUAACUGCGGGAAACUGCAGCUAAUACCGCAUGAGCCCGAGAGGGGAAAGAUUUAUCGCCAUUGGAGGGGCCCGCGUUCGAUUAGGUAGUUGGUGAGGUAACGGCUCACCAAGCCGACGAUCGAUAGCUGGUCUGAGAGGAUGAUCAGCCACACUGGGACUGAGAUACGGCCCAGACUCCUACGGGAGGCAGCAGUGGGGAAUAUUGGACAGUGGGGCAACCCUGAUCCAGCAAUGCCGCGUGAGUGAUGAAGGCC
rnacentral:rRNA from 1 species